rnacentral:lncRNA from 1 species
GCUUCUGAUGAAAGAUCUGACUUGAUCUCCUUCUUCGAUCACCUCGGACCUUUCUGAUGUUGAAGAUGGAGUAGAGAAAGAUGUUAGAUGGUGGAGAAAACUUUGAUAGAGACUCUCUUCUUUAUAGUUUUUCUCUCACCCAAAAUUCUAGAACAGUUCUAGGUCGCUCACCCGAAAGGAGAAUGGUCUCCUCUUUUGUUCAUGCCA